rnacentral:rRNA from 1 species
CUACGGGCGGCUCCAGUAGGGAAUAUUGCGCAAUGGAGGAAACUCUGACGCAGCGACGCCGCGUGGGUGAUGAAGGUCUUCGGAUCGUAAAGCCCUGUCGGAUGGGAAGAAACACACUGAGGGUAAUAUUCUCAGUGCUUGACGGUACCAUUAAAGGAAGCCCCGGCUAGCUUCGUGCCAGCAGCCGCGGUAAUACGAAGGGGGCAAGCGUUGUUCGGAAUCAUUGGGCGUAAAGCGCGUGUAGGCGGUCUAUUAAGUCGAGUGUGAAAUCCCUGGGCUCAACCGAGGAAGUGCAUUCGAAACUGGCAGACUAGAAGAUGGUAGAGGAUGGUGGAAUUCCAGGUGUAGAGGUGAAAUUCGUAGAUAUCUGGAGGAAUACCGGUGGCGAAGGCGGCCAUCUGGGCCAUUCUUGACGCUGAGACGCGAAAGCGUGGGUAGCAAACAGGAUUAGAUACCCGAGUAGUC